rnacentral:rRNA from 1 species
UACAGAGGUCCCAAGCGUUGUUCGGAUUCACUGGGCGCAAAGGGUGCGCAGGUGGGUUUGCAAGUUCGAUGUGAAAGCCCCGGGCUUAACCCGGGAAUGGCAUUGGAUACUGCAGAUCUGGAGGAUCGGAGGGGGGACUGGAAUUCUUGGUGUAGCAGUGAAAUGCGUAGAUAUCAAGAGGAACACCAGUGGCGAAGGCGAGUCCCUGGACGAUACCUGACACUGAGGCACGAAAGCUAGGGGAGCAAACAGG